rnacentral:misc_RNA from 1 species
AGUCAUCAACCCCUGCCGUUUAGUGCGGUUGCGGGUUGGAGCUGGGGGCUUGCUGCCGAGAGGCGGCUCCCCUCAAAUGCGUCGGUUGGGCCUGUGGGUCGGACUCGUUCGGGCGUUGUACCAUCCUCGCUCUUGGCCGAGAAGUUCCCCUCUUGUCGCCCCUCCACGACCUGCCUACUAGAGUGGCGGUCAAAGCAAUUUGAA